rnacentral:rRNA from 1 species
CCUACGGGGGGCAGCAGUGGGGAAUAUUGGACAAUGGGGGGAACCCUGAUCCAGCCAUGCCGCGUGUGUGAAGAAGGCCCUCGGGUUGUAAAGCACUUUCAGUGAGGAAGAACGCCUGGUGGUUAAUACCCAUCAGGAAAGACAUCACUCACAGAAGAAGCACCGGCUAACUCCGUGCCAGCAGCCGCGGUAAUACGGAGGGUGCGAGCGUUAAUCGGAAUUACUGGGCGUAAAGCGCGCGUAGGUGGCUUGAUAAGCCGGUUGUGAAAGCCCCGGGCUCAACCUGGGAACGGCAUCCGGAACUGUCAAGCUAGAAUGCAGGAGAGGAAGGUAGAAUUCCCGGUGUAGCGGUGAAGUGCGUAGAGAUCGGGAGGAAUACCAGUGGCGAAGGCGGCCUUCUGGACUGACACUGACACUGAGGUGCGAAAGCGUGGGUAGCAAACAGGAUUAGAUAGCCCUGUAGUC